UACGUAGGGUGCGAGCGUUAAUCGGAAUUACUGGGCGUAAAGCGUGCGCAGGCGGUUUUGUAAGUCAGAUGUGAAAGCCCCGGGCUCAACCUGGGAAUGGCAUUUGAGACUGCAAGGCUAGAGAGUAGCAGAGGGGGGUGGAAUUCCACGUGUAGCAGUGAAAUGCGUAGAGAUGUGGAGGAACACCGAUGGCGAAGGCAGCCCCCUGGGCUAUAUCUGACGCUCAGGCACGAAAGCGUGGGGAGCAAACAGG
rnacentral:rRNA from 1 species